rnacentral:misc_RNA from 1 species
UUGUGGAGAAGGACGCCGAAGGUGGGGCUGAUGACUGGGGUGAAGUCGUAACAAGGUAGCCGUACCGGAAGGUGCGGCUGGAUCACCUCCUAACAGGGAGACAACAAUUUGAUUGUGAUGUCUAAGUUUUUUAUUCUUAGGCCGCAAUCCUGUCACCUUAAGGUCGAUCGGUAUCUCAGAUGAAAGAUUUAAUUUUAUAUUAUUCUUUUAUUUCAGUUCCUAAACUUGUCUAGGUCACACCCAACAAAGGUUUCUCCUGGGCCAUUAGCUCAGGUGGUUAGAGCGCACCCCUGAUAAGGGUGAGGUCCCUGGUUCAAGUCCAGGACGGCCCAUUCGUUGUUGGGGGUAUAGCUCAGUUGGUAGAGCGCCUGCUUUGCAAGCAGGAUGUCAGCGGUCCGAGUCCGCUUACCUCCACUGAAAACUAUCCUGAUAACUAAAUUUGGAGAAAAGUUUGUAGAUGUGACUUAGAAUUGUCUAUUGAAAAGAACCUAGCUUCUUAUCAUCUUUAUAUAGUUGAUAACAUGCUGGGCUCCCAUGGAUUAAUUUCAUGAGAAUUCAGUAGAACCUUGAAAACUGCAUAGAUUAGAAAGAAUAAAGCAUCUCAUGGAUGCAUAAUUCUGUUUUAUAAUUUAGCCUUAAAACUAAAUUAUUAACGCAUGAAUUCAUGUUUAAUUCUUGAGUAAAAGCCGAGCACAAUUGAUUUUUUGAUUGUAUUUAAGGUCAAGCUACAA